rnacentral:sRNA from 12 species
GGUCCUCACUAAGACGGUGUCUCGAAAAGACUAUGUCAAGGUGGGGGAAGGCUCAUCUCAGGGUGUGGCCACGCCUUCAACUUCGGGUGCCGGGCGUCAGUCCGCCAGAGCGCAGCACACAGCGGUGCCGCUCGGGGCUGAUGACCGGAGGACGA